UCGAACGAUGAAGACCGUGCUUGCACGGUUGGAUUAGUGGCGAACGGGUGAGUAUCACGUGAGUAACCUUCCCUUGACUCUGGGAUAAGCCCGGGAAACUGGGUCUAAUACCGGAUACGACCAGUCCUCGCAUGGGGUGCUGGUGGAAAGAUUUAUCGGUCUUGGAUGGACUCGCGGCCUAUCAGCUUGUUGGUGAGGUAAUGGCUCACCAAGGCGAUGACGGGUAGCCGGCCUGAGAGGGUGACCGGCCACACUGGGACUGAGACACGGCCCAGACUCCUACGGGAGGCAGCAGUGGGGAAUAUUGCACAAUGGGCGAAAGCCUGAUGCAGCGACGCCGCGUGCGGGAUGACGGCCUUCGGGUUGUAAACCGCUUUCAGCAGGGAAGAAGCGAAAGUGACGGUACCUGCAGAAGAAGCGCCGGCUAACUACGUGCCAGCAGCCGCGGUAAUACGUAGGGCGCGAGCGUUAUCCGGAAUUAUUGGGCGUAAAGGGCUCGUAGGCGGUUUGUCACGUCUGCUGUGAAAGCCCGAGGCUCAACCUCGGGUGUGCAGUGGGUACGGGCAGACUAGAGUGCAGUAGGGGAGACUGGAAUUCCUGGUGUAGCGGUGAAAUGCGCAGAUAUCAGGAGGAACACCGAUGGCGAAGGCAGGUCUCUGGGCUGUUACUGACGCUGAGGAGCGAAAGCAUGGGGAGCGAACAGGAUUAGAUACCCUGGUAGUCCAUGCCGUAAACGUUGGGCACUAGGUGUGGGGGCCAUUCCACGUUUUCCGCGCCGUAGCUAACGCAUUAAGUGCCCCGCCUGGGGAGUACGGCCGCAAGGCUAAAACUCAAAGGAAUUGACGGGGGCCCGCACAAGCGGCGGAGCAUGCGGAUUAAUUCGAUGCAACGCGAAGAACCUUACCAAGGCUUGACAUGGACCGGAUCGCUGCAGAGAUGCAGUUUCCCUUCGGGGUCGGUUCACAGGUGGUGCAUGGUUGUCGUCAGCUCGUGUCGUGAGAUGUUGGGUUAAGUCCCGCAACGAGCGCAACCCCUAUCCUAUGUUGCCAGCACGUCAUGGUGGGGACUCAUGGGAGACUGCCGGGGUCAACUCGGAGGAAGGUGGGGACGACGUCAAAUCAUCAUGCCCCUUAUGUCUUGGGCUUCACGCAUGCUACAAUGGCCGGUACAAUGGGUUGCGAUACUGUGAGGUGGAGCUAAUCCCUAAAAGCCGGUCUCAGUUCGGAUCGAAGUCUGCAACUCGACUUCGUGAAGUUGGAGUCGCUAGUAAUCGCAGAUCAGCAACGCUGCGGUGAAUACGUUCCCGGGCCUUGUACACACCGCCCGUCAAGUCACGAAAGUGGGUAACACCCGAAGCCGGUGGCCUAACCCUUGUGGGGGGAGCCGUCGAAGGUGGGACUCGCGAUUGGGAC
rnacentral:rRNA from 1 species